GGGGCUGAUUCUGGAUUCGACGGGAUUUGCGAAACCCAAGGUGCAUGCCGAGGGGCGGUUGGCCUCGUAAAAAGCCGCAAAAAAUAGUCGCAAACGACGAAAACUACGCUUUAGCAGCUUAAUAACCUGCUUAGAGCCCUCUCUCCCUAGCCUCCACUCUUAGGACGGGGAUCAAGAGAGGUCAAACCCAAAAGAGAUCGCGUGGAAGCCCUGCCUGGGGUUGAAGCGUUAAAACUUAAUCAGGCUAGUUUGUUAGUGGCGUGUCCGUCCGCAGCUGGCAAGCGAAUGUAAAGACUGACUAAGCAUGUAGUACCGAGGAUGUAGGAAUUUCGGACGCGGGUUCAACUCCCGCCAGCUCCACCA
rnacentral:tmRNA from 1 species